rnacentral:rRNA from 1 species
UACGUAGGGGGCAAGCGUUGUCCGGAAUUAUUGGGCGUAAAGAGCGCGUAGGCGGUCCGAUAAGUCGGCUGUGAAAGUCAGGGGCUCAACCCUUGAAAGCCGGCCGAUACUGUCGGACUAGAGUCCGGAAGAGGCAAGUGGAAUUCCCGGUGUAGCGGUGGAAUGCGUAGAGAUCCGGAAGAACACCGGUGGCGAAGGCGGCCUGCUGGGCAGUAGCUGACGCUGAGGCGCGACAGCGUGGGGAGCAAACAGG